rnacentral:rRNA from 1 species
UACGGGAGGCAGCAGUGGGGAAUAUUGCACAAUGGGCGCAAGCCUGAUGCAGCCAUGCCGCGUGUAUGAAGAAGGCCUUCGGGUUGUAAAGUACUUUCAGUCGUGAGGAGGGUGUUAAGGUUAAUAACCUUAGCAAUUGACGUUAGCGACAGAAGAAGCACCGGCUAACUCCGUGCCAGCAGCCGCGGUAAUACGGAGGGUGCGAGCGUUAAUCGGAAUUACUGGGCGUAAAGGGCACGCAGGCGGUUAAUUAAGUUGGAUGUGAAAUCCCCGGGCUUAACCUGGGAAUGGCAUUCAAGACUGGUUAGCUAGAGUCUUGUAGAGGGGGUAGAAUUCCAUGUGUAGCGGUGAAAUGCGUAGAGAUGUGGAGGAAUACCGGUGGGCGAAGGCGGCCCCUGGGACAAAGACUGACGCUCAUGUGCGAAAGCGUGGGGAGCAAACAGGGAUUAGAUA